CAAGGCCCUGAUCGAAGCCGGGUUAGAGGCUCCUGUAUCUAACGCGGUCAAACAGAGGCCGAUAUGAAGGUUUUCUUCCGACGGUCGCUGCUCUGGCUUCUAUGUGCCGGUGUCGGCAACAUUUUGGGGAAAUACAGCU